UCCAGUUGAUCCUGCUGGAGGGUACUGCUAUCGGAGUUCGACUAAGCCAUGCAAGUCUAACCCUAGGACUUCCUGGGGUGGCAGACUGCUGAGUAACACGUAGUCAAUCUACCCUAUAGACGGGGAUAACCUCGAGAAAUUGAGGACAAUACCCGAUAUUCCUCUUAUGCUGGAAUGCUUAGAGGUUUAAAUGGGCGGUGAAUUGGAGCCGUUCCGCUGUAGGACGAGACUGCGGGGGAUUAUGGUUGUUGGUAGGGUAAUGGCUUACCAAGCCGAUAAUCUCUAGGGGCCAUGAGAGUGGUGGCCCCCAGAAGGACACUGAGACAAGGGUCCUAGCCCUACGGGGUGCAGCAGGCGCGAAACCUCUACAAUGCUGGAAACAGUGAUAGGGGGACUCCGAGUGGCGUCGGCUAAGCUGGCGUCUUUUGCCAAGUGUAAAUAGCUUGGAGAAUAAGGGUGUGGGCAAGACUGGUGGCAGCCGCCGCGGUAACACCAGCGCCUCAAGUGGUACCCACGAAUACUGGGCCUAGAGCGUUCGUAGCCGGCCAAAUAAGUCUUCUGUGAGAUAGUAUGGCUUAACCAUACUGCGCGCAGGAGAUACUGUUUGACUUGGGAACGGGGGAGGACAGGAGUACGCCCGGGGUAGGGGUAAAAUCCUUUGAGCCUGGGCGGACUACCAGUGGCGAAGGCGCCUGACCAAAACGUGUCCGACGGUGAGGAACGAAAGCUGGGGGAGCGAACGGGAUUAGAUACCCCGGUAGUCCCAGCCUAAAUGAUGCAGACUGUGGUGUUGCUUCAGAGUUAAUCUGCAGCAGUGCUGUAGCGUAGGUGUUAAGUCUGCCGCCUGGGGAGUACGGCCGCAAGGUUGAAACUUAAAGGAAUUGGCGGGGGAGCACCACAAGGGGUGGAUGCUACGGUUUAAUUGGAUACAACGCCGUGAACUUCACCAAGGGCGACGGCAGAAUGAAGGUCAGACUAAAGAUCUUACCUAACAAGCCGAGAGGUGUUGCAUGGCCAUCGUCAGCUCGUGGCGUGAGUUGUCAGGUUAAGUCCUGCAACGAGCGAGACCCAUACCAUUAAUUGCUACUUUUACCUUUAGUAAGAGGCACCUUAAUGGGACUGCCCGCGUUAAGUGGGAGGAAGGAGUGGGCGACGGUAGGUCAGUAUGGCCCGAAUCCCUUGGGCUACACGCGGCAUACAAUGGCUGGAACAAUGGGUUGCUACUCCGAAAGGAGACGCUAAUCCCCUAAAUCCAGUCUUAGUUCGGAUUGAGGGUUGAAACUCACCCUCAUGAAGCUGGAAUCCCUAGUAAUCGCGUGUCAUCAUCGCGCGGUGAAUACGUCCCCGCUCCUUGCACACACCGCCCGUCAAGUCACCCAAAUGUGGUGUAGGUGAGGCUCCGGUUUCUGCCGGAUCCGAACCUAUGUUGCGUGAGGGGGGCUAAGUCGUAACAAGGUA
rnacentral:rRNA from 1 species